CCUACGGGUGGCAGCAGUGAGGAAUAUUGGUCAAUGGCCGAGAGGCUGAACCAGCCAAGUCGCGUGAGGGAAGAAUGUCCUAAGCAUUGUAAACCUCUUUUGUCAGGGGGCAAAAUCAGCCACGUGAGGGUGUCGGAGAGUACUUGAAGAAAAAGCAUCGGCUAACUCCGUGCCAGCAGCCGCGAUAAUACGGGGGAUGCGAGCGUUAUCCGGAUUUAUUGGGUUUAAAGGGUGCGGAGGCGGGUUAUCAAGUCAGCGGUAAAAGCGCGGGGCUCAACUCCAGCCAGCCGUUGAAACUGGUUGUCUUGAGAGGACGAGAGGUAUGCGGAAUGCGUAGUGUAGCGGUGAAAUGCGUAGAUAUUGCGCAGAACUCCGAUUGCGAAGGCAGCAUACCGGCGGCGGACUGACGCUGAGGCACGAAAGCGUGGGUAUCGAACAGGAUUAGAUACCCGAGUAGUC
rnacentral:rRNA from 1 species